GGGUUCACCAGAUUAUGUCGGUUCUUCUACCAAUCAAAAUUCAUAAGUUCUAUAUUAAAAGCAUCAGUACCUUCAUCAAGGUACUUCUUUUCUAAAAAGAAUGCCAAACAACUCUUGUUCUUUAGCAUGAUAGAAGUUAUAUCCCCCUAGAUUCUUUGGUUAUCCUACAAAAUAAUAUAUGUAGGAUCGGGAUUCAAGCUAAUUGGUCGGUAAAUACUCGACAUAAAACAAACACUCCC
rnacentral:lncRNA from 1 species